rnacentral:rRNA from 1 species
AGUGAACGCUGGCGGUAGGCCUAACACAUGCGAGUCGAACGGCAGCACAGUAAGAGCUUGCUCUUACGGGUGGCGAGUGGCGGACGGGUGAGGAAUACAUCGGAAUCUACUUUUUCGUGGGUGAUAACGUAGGGAAACUUACGCUAAUACCGCAUACGACCUACGGGUGAAAGCAGGGGAUCUUCGGACCUUGCGCGAUUGAAUGAGCCGAUGUCGGAUUAGCUAGUUGGCGGGGUAAAGGCCCACCAAGGCGACGAUCCGUAGCUGGUCUGAGAGGAUGAUCAGCCACACUGGAACUGAGACACGGUCCAGACUCCUACGGGAGGCAGCAGUGGGGAAUAUUGGACAAUGGGCGCAAGCCUGAUCCAGCCAUACCGCGUGGGUGAAGAAGGCCUUCGGGUUGUAAAGCCCUUUUGUUGGGAAAGAAAAGCAGCAGGUUAAUACCCCGCUGUUCUGACGGUACCCAAAGAAUAAGCACCGGCUAACUUCGUG